ACCCACUCCCCACAGCCCAUGGCAUCUGGCUGUACAUGGAAGUGAGGAAGCUGCUGUCUCCCCCCAUAGAACGUUGCUCCCAGUCAGGGCUCACCCCCUGUGGGGCAGGGCUCACAGGCUCCUGGUUCAGAGACCAGGGCCCUUGUCAAUUGCAGCGUGAACAGCAGGGUACUUUGCCCCUGAGUCCCACAGCAGGGGUGGGGACCUUGUCAUGGUGGGCCCAGGUGACAACACAGGGCCAGCGAUUCUUCACCCGGCAGCCAACACGGCGGCAGAUGACAAACAUUGCAGCCCUUGGCAAACAAAAAGCACGCAGCAAACAGUGUGGCCAGUACAGAGACCCUCCCCUCCCCGGGGACCAGGCAGGGCAAGGUCGUCCCCCGAGAUGGCCUGCACCCACCGGGCCGCCUGUGUGACCAGCCACAGAACUCACUCAGCAUUGGCACCCACAGCCGGGACAGGCAGGGUGCUGGGCCCGUGGUUUCCUGCAUCUGCUGAUACCACCCAAGGCUGCCAGGCCAUAACAUGAAGUCAUCUGUGCCAGGAAAUCCUGAGCCUCGCCCACACCUGGCCCUGGGCCGUCCCUGCAUGCCAAGGGGUUGUGGGACCUCGCAGGCCUGCAGGCAGGGGGGUGGGCGCUGGGCUGGGGUCCGAGUGUGCCCCUGCUCUAGGGCAUGGCCGGCAGGUGGGGACAGGGAAAAGGAAGGAGCAGGAUUCCUGCCUGGCUAUGGCAGUCUUACCCCACGGAAUCCAGGCUCCAACUGACCUCACCAUUGUGCGGGUUAAUUUUGAUUCUUAAAACCUUCAUCUAAAGACCUUUGCUUCCUGUAACACAGGCCUGGGUUUUCCCAAAAGUCGUGGGGACCUGGCCCGGCACGUGCUGCUCAGUGCGGGGACCUCACAGCCUGUUCUAUGUGAGCCGGACAGGAAAGGCUCCACGGGCAAACUCACUCUCCGUGACAAUCAGGAGGUUUCUGCUCCAGCCACAAGAAGGAGCUGGGGGAGCUCCUGAGGCCAGGAAGAGAACAGCCCUAAUCCCAUCCUUUCCCUCCUCAGCAGGGACCCCAGGGUCUGCUGUCCUGCCCCAACCCACACUUCAAAGAAGGAAGGACACCUGCCUGCCCCUGCUGCCUCACACCCCGAAGCAUGCCACAGCCCCGAAUGCAGGUCUAGCCACAGAAGCGCUGGAGAGUGGAGGCUGAGAGUGGCGCUGGUUGAAGAUUUCUCACAGGAAACACAAGGCACGGCCUCCACGUGGCUCGAGGCCGUGAGAACCCUCGACUCAAACCAUUGCACAUGGUGAGGAGGACGCGGGUCAGCCGCCCGAGCUGCAUGAUGAUGAUGCUGUCAGGGAAAGCGUCGGUGCCUAUGUGGGAAAAUAGGGGAACGAGAAACAAACGCGAAGCGUGUGGCUCUCGGCUCUGCUGCCCUGGAGGCCGUGGCUCAUCUUUUCACCAUGGACGCUUUUCAUUUUUGUACCUUUCUGGAAGGGCUGGAUACAGAGUCUGCGGGCCUGCGAUGGAGGCGCCACCGUCUCACCAGGAGUCCACGGCCCUCGGUCUCUGUGCUCCCUGAACCUAAGGUGAGGAACCCAUGCCUUGUGGUUGACGAGGGCUGCUGGGGCACCUGCCCUCUCAUCUGCAUCCUGGAAGGCAGGAAGGAGCACAGAGGAAAACACAAGCCUGCUCUGGCCAGCUCAGUGUGCGCCUUCCAGAAACAGGUAAACAUGAAAUUACCCUGUGAAGCCGCCAUUCCGUUCCUAGAUCUAUCCCCAAAAGAAAUCCAAGCAGAGACUCAAACACUUGCACAGCCCUUGCCACGGCCCGGAUGUACUUAGUGCCUCUGUUCCCAGCAAAACUCUUGUUGAAACAGGACCCCCAGUGUGGCAGCGCAGGGAGAUGGGUCCUGAGGGGAGGGAGACGUGCAGGUCGUGGGAGUGACUCCCUGGGGAGUGCCUGGUGCUGGGAGUGACUCUCCUCUUGUGAUACGGGGUGAGUUCCCAUGGGAAUGGAUUUGUUCCCAUGAGCGGGGCUUGUUCUGAAGCCAACACAUCCCUGGGCUUUAUCUCUCUUCCCAUGUCUGCUUCCCCUUUGACCUCCGCCAGCAGAAGCAGAAGGGCCAUGCCAUUGAACUUCUCAGCUGACAGAACCGUGAGCUUUAUGAAUUACCCCAUCUCAGAGGUUGUUUUAUGGCCACACAGAAUGGACUCAGACCCCCGUGCUCAUAGCCGUGUAGUCACAAUAGCCCAAAGGUGGAAACAGCCAGCAGGUGAGGGGAUGUGGAACGGGGCAGACACACACAUCGGGGUCUCACCGAGCCUGGAAAAGGAGUGUGCUCUGACGCAAGCAGCAACACACCAACCUUCACAACCUCAUGCCCAGUGAAGCCAGCCGGUCCCAAUAGGACCAACGCGGUGACCCCACAGAGGGAAGGCCCCCAGAGGAGUCAGAGUCAAGAGAAGGACGACCCAAUGGUGGUCAGCAGUGCCCGGGGGAGGGGCCGAUGGGAGUGAGUGAUUAGUCAGGACGGAGCUCCAGUUUCGCCCGAUGAAAACGUGCUGGAGCUGCAUGGUGGUGACAGCGGCAUAGCCGUGGGCAUGUUCUCAAUGCCACGGUUCUGUGCACUUCCCAUGGCGAUGAUGGGAAAUCUCAUGUACCCGCAUUUGACUACAGAGAGGAAGGAAGGAAGGGA